rnacentral:rRNA from 1 species
GACGAACGCUGGCGGCGUGCUUAACACAUGCAAGUCGAACGGAAAGGCCCUGCUUUUGUGGGGUGCUCGAGUGGCGAACGGGUGAGUAACACGUGAGUAACCUGCCCUUGACUUUGGGAUAACUUCAGGAAACUGGGGCUAAUACCGGAUAGGAGCCUCUGCGGCAUGGUGGGGGUUGGAAAGUUUCGGCGGUUGGGGAUGGACUCGCGGCUUAUCAGCUUGUUGGUGGGGUAGUGGCUUACCAAGGCUUUGACGGGUAGCCGGCCUGCGAGGGUGACCGGCCACAUAGUCACCGGGAAGCCGCCCGCACCCAUACGAGAGGCAGGGAUGAGACUUAGCCCAAGAUGUGCCGAAUCCUCAUCGAACGUCGCCGCGUGCGGGACGACGGCUUUCGGGUUGGAAACCGCUUUCGCCUGUAACCAAGCGUUAUGACGGUUAAUGAGAAAAGAAGCACGGCUAAAUUACUG